UCCUGAAUAUAAAUCUUCAUAGAUAUAAAAGAUCAUAAGUACUUAAUAUACAUAUCCGACAAGAAAGGGCGGAAAUAUUAAUCAUCGCCAAAAGACACUAAACAAAGACAUGAACAAACUGAAGCCGUCAGUGUUUCAAAAGUCACAAAAUGAUAAGCAACUCCCAGUGGCUAACUCCAAAGCUAGGGUACUUCCUCUCCUCAAUUCCUCAUGCCCCCUCCGGGAACAUCGCGGACGGGUAGCUCCAAAUCCGAACAAAGCUGUCUAUCUG
rnacentral:lncRNA from 1 species